rnacentral:rRNA from 1 species
UACGUAGGCAGCGAGCGUUGUUCGGAGUUACUGGGCGUAAAGGGUGUGUAGGCGGUUGUUUAAGUUUGGUGUGAAAUCUCCCGGCUCAACUGGGAGGGUGCGCCGAAUACUGAAUAACUAGAGUGCGGGAGAGGAAAGUGGAAUUCCUGGUGUAGCGGUGAAAUGCGUAGAUAUCAGGAGGAACACCGAUGGCGAAGGCAGGUCUCUGGGCUGACACUGACGCUCAUGCACGAAAGCGUGGGGAGCAAACAGG